GAGUGCGUAACAGCUCACUAGUCGAGUGACCCUGCGCCGAAAAUUUACCGGGGCUAAGCAAGAUACCGAAUCUAUGGAUUGUAGUAAUACAGUGGUAGGGGAGCGUUCUAAGCUGCGUUGAAGAUAUACCGUAAGGAGUGUUGGAGCGCUUAGAAGUGAGAAUGCCGGUGUGAGUAGCGAAAUGUCAGUGAGAAUCUGACACACCGAUUGCCUAAGGUUUCCAGGGGAAGGUUCGUCCGCCCUGGGUAAGUCGGGACCUAAGAUGAGGCCGAAAGGCGUAGUCGAUGGACAACUGGUUGAUAUUCCAGUACCCGCGUACAAGUGAUGGAGUGACAGAGAAGGCUAACAUGAGCCGGCGAUUGGUAGUGCCGGUCUAAGUAAAAUAGCUGUAGCGUAGGCAAAUCCGCGCUAUAAGGCGAAGUUAUGAUGGGGAGUGAACGGGUGACCUAGUAACGAAGCAUGUGAUGCAAGCUCUCAAGAAAAGCUUCUAACGUUAAUUGUACUGCGGCCCGUACCAAAACCGACACAGGUGGGCAAGGAGAAUAUCCUGAGGUGAGCGAGAGAACUGUUGCCAAGGAACUCGGCAAAAUUACCCCGUACGUUCGCAAUAAGGGGUGCACGCAAGUGCCGCAGUGAAGAGGCCCAAGCAACUGUUUAACUAAAACACAGCUCUCUGCAAAGUCGCAAGACGAAGUAUAGGGGGUGACGCCUGCCCGGUGCUGGAAGGUUAAGGGGAUUUGUUAGUCGCAAGACGAAGCUUUGAACCGAAGCCCCAGUGAACGGCGGCCGUAACUAUAACGGUCCUAAGGUAGCGAAAUUCCUUGUCAGGUAAGUUCUGACCCGCACGAAAGGCGUAAUGAUUUGGGCGCUGUCUCGGCAGCAGACUCGGUGAAAUCUUAGUACCUGUGAAGAUGCAGGUUACCCGCAACUAGACGGAAAGACCCCAUGGAGCUUUACUAUAGCCUGAUAUUGAGUUUUGAACAAGUAUGUACAGGAUAGGUGGGAGACUUUGAAGUGUGGACGUCAGUCUGCAUGGAGUCGCCGUUGGGAUACCACUCUUGCUUGUUUGAAAUUCUAACCGACACCCAUGAUCUGGGUGCGGGACCGUGUCAGGUGGGUAGUUUGACUGGGGCGGUCGCCUCCUAAAGAGUAACGGAGGCGCUCAAAGGUACCCUCAGAUUGGUUGGAAAUCAAUCGACGAGCGCAAAGGCAGAAGGGUGCUUGACUGCGAGACUUACAAGUCGGGCAGGAACGAAAGUUGGACUUAGUGAUCCGGCGGUGCAGUAUGGAAUGGCCGUCGCUUAACGGAUAAAAGCUACCCUGGGGAUAACAGGCUGAUCUCGCCCAAGAGUUCACAUCGACGGCGAGGUUUGGCACCUCGAUGUCGGCUCAUCGCAUCCUGGAGGUGAAUUCGCUUCCAAGGGUUGGGCUGUCCGCCCAUUAAAGCGGUACGUGAGCUGGGUUCAGAACGUCGUGAGACAGUUCGGUCCCUAUCUGUUGUGGGCGUAGGAAUUUUGAGAAGCUCUGUCCUUAGUACGAGAGGACCGGGAUGGACAUACCGCUGGUGCACCAGUUGUUCUGCCAAGAGCAUAGCUGGGUAGCUAAGUAUGGAUCGGAUAAACGCUGAAGGCAUCUAAGCGUGAAACCGGCUUCAAGAUGAGAAUUCCCAUUCCUAGUGAAGUAAGACCCCUUGAAGACUACAAGGUUGAUAGGUCAGAGAUGGAAGCGCAGUGAUGCGUGCAGUUUACUGAUACUAAUAGGUCGAGGAUUUAAUCA
rnacentral:rRNA from 1 species